rnacentral:misc_RNA from 1 species
CAGAGUUGCAAGACUCCCUAAACCAUUGUGAACCUACCUUCUACCGUUGCUUCGGCGGGCGGGCCCAGCGCCCCCCCCGGCCCCCCGCGGGCGCCCGCCGGAGGAUACCCCAAACUCUUGACAUUAGUGGCCUCUCUGAGUAUUCUUUACUGAAUAAGUCA